GUGUAAGUUGCCAGUGUCUGCACUUAUUGUUCGUAUUAUAGCGUCACGGUGGUUUAUUUAGUUUGUUUUAGUGUUCUUCGUCUUCCUUAAAUAAAUACAUAAUGUAUUUAUAUCACGCUGCGCCUUGGUCCUCUGUUUCACCCGAAGACGAUCGUGACAACAAGUUCAAGUAGUGCCUCCCUGUUUUUGUGCUUUUAGUUCCACCAUCAGUCACUGGAAAAAGUUAUCCUGAUCCGUUAUCACUUUGAACUAUGGCAACCAGGAGCCCUUCACGGUUGGCAAGCGGCUGCUGACCAAGGAGCUUGCUCAACAGUAUUUAAGAGGGUGACUCAAACAUCACUAUCACAGUGCCCUUCUCUUCACCGAAUACAGUGUAUGAGUCUGUUCACUCUUCAUUUAUCAGGAGCAGACUGGAUGUGACUGAAUCCCUACAACAUUACCAUCAAAUACUUCACCCUGGCUUGCAGCUUCAAAACUCUAACUGAUGCCUCGUAUAACUCGUUCCACCAGGAGGAGGACUACCCAGUGGUGACAUACCUAAGACAGCCUCUGUACUUUGAGGUGGAGUGUACCAGGUCCACUGACCCCAAGGUGGCGCUAGUGCUUGACCACUGUUGGGCCACGCUCAACAAGGACUGACUCCCAAUCCAGAUGGAAUCUCAUUAAUAGGGCAAAGACCUCACAAAGACAUCUGAGGAGCAUCGCAUAUGUUUCAUCUGGACAGGUUCUUCGUGUGUAAAUGUCCUAAAGUGAGGAAAGUUCAAAUAAAGUGUUCUACAUUAUUUGGUUUGAAUCACUUGCACCUCAAUCUAUCAAUUGCUCUAAUUUGGCUUUAUCAGGCAUGGCAGUGUG